rnacentral:antisense_RNA from 10 species
CAUAACUGAAGAUUACUAAUGGGUUUAAUGUAGGGUUUUUAACAAGACGUACAUCUCCUCCACCUGGAGCCCAAGUGUCAUAAACACCACCAACAUACAUAGCUUUGGCUACUAAUAAAAACGCUCCAAUUCCUAAUAAACAUAAAUGAAUACCUAAAAUUGUUGUCAUUUUAUUUUUGUCACGCCA